rnacentral:tRNA from 1 species
GGGACUAUAGCUCAGUUGGUUAGAGCGCUACGUUGACAUCGUAGAGGUCACUGGUUCGAAUCCAGUUAGCCCCACCA